CUGGGACAAUGGCCGAGACCACGUGUCGAAACCGUGAGGUACGGCAUUCCCCUUCUCCCUGUUGAAUAUUAAGUCCGAGGAUAGAGAAAAAAAACACCAACAACCAUAAUAGCGCUUACUCAAGACUACAUUACUCUCUUUCUCUCUCUCUUUUAUCUCCUUUAUCUCUUGCGUUUAGAUAAAGAUGUUUAAUUAUACACAGAUGUGAGUUACCUCGUUUCAUGUUGUAAAAUCAUGCUUGAGACUUCUCAUAUGACGAUCGUGUGAAAAACCCGUUACCAAAUUCCCAGGUCGUGAGCCUUUUGUUUUUUAACCUCUCCAUUCUUUAAUAGCUAAUCUCGCACUUCACCAGAUGUGAUUGUGCACAACUUAUUACCAGCAUUUUCCAGUUGCACGUAAUGUGCUUCACACAAUAAACAUCAGAAAACGCACAAACCCGGACACACACCCGUCCACGUGCACAUAUAAUACGCACUCGCUAGAAAAAAAAGUACCGAAAUCUACGAAGAAAUAUGAUUCGUAAAUACGAAUAGAAACACGUGAUGGAAUUUAUUUUCUGUUCUGGUUUUUUUGCCACUUUGAAACAAAUGCAAUCAGCAAGGGCUUGGAGAUGAGUUUUAAUUUGUCUGGAUGAUUCAGUUAGCAACCUUGUCCGCCAAGAAGAGCUCAAACUCCUUAUUAACCUUGAAGAGAUGAUGGCGGAGAAGGUUGGGAGGAGAUGGGGAGUUGUCGCCUGUGUCACUGCUAGGAAAAUAAAAAGGACGACAUAUUUGCCAUAGAAAAACCCCACACAGCGAAGAAAACCACGCAAUUACCGAUCACGUGAUAUAAAGCACGAACAGCCCUCGCAUCCUUUGGGAAGGAGCGGGAUGGAGGGAAGGGGGAACUGGACCUUUUUUUUAAAAAAAGUGGACAGGAUGGGGAAAACUCAGCUACUCAGCCAUAAUGUCCCAGCAUGCAAGAGAAACUGAGGAAAACAUCCUUCCUUCGGGCGUUCACGCCUGUCCGAUUGGCGUAGUGGGCUGGCGACAAGUGACAUAGGUGGCGCUUGCGUGCAGAUGGACCAACAUCGCGUAAAAACGAAAUUAGCAAGGGGCGACAAAUAUGGCGUUCCUGUGACGUGGGUCCACUUAUUUUAUUAGCAGACACAUUUUUAUAGUUUUUUCACUCACGAAGGCUAAACUGGGCGAAAGAGUUGCCAUUCUUGGCGCCGAUCGAUGGCGCCGUGGCUGAGAGAAGGGCGAGUGACGUAGUUGGGGGCCCGCAGUUAAUCGAUCCUCCAGCCGGAAAAAGAACGAUGACGCAAGCGUUAUUGACGGGCCCCCUCGUCCUCCGCAUACACACACGGCGCUAGUGACGUGAUCCGAUUAUGCCGUGACGUCAAAUGAUUAUCGGACUGAGAGUAUCCCGAUCGUAUUUUUAUCAGGGGAGACAAGGGGAAUCCAGUCACUAGAUUGUCGGCCGUUUUGGAGCUCGGGAGCGAAGUCAGAGUGCAGUCCAGCCCAAACCCGACGGCAGCACCGGACAGGGAAGUCGGUCCCUCCGUCGUGUAUCAGUUUGGAAAAAAAAAGAAGAAAAAAAAGUGCAGGAGUUCUCUACCAGGAUAAGUAUCAUUUUUUAAUAUUUCAUAAUGAUUGUAACAUCGUUGCGGAUGAUAUGUUGUUUUUAUGUCACCUUCGUAUUUAUUAGGUUGACUGCUCAGUUUUGAAUGUCUGUCCUGACACCUCCUUAGCUUUUGGCGGUUGAGUAAAUAUCACGUCUGAACGACUCGGCCUUUCUAGCGCCAAUAAUGUAUCCUCCACACGAGUCGUUAAUGACGCAACUAUCUAUAAUUAAUAAGUCAUUUUCAAUCAAGCUUUAUUUUCUGACGGUGCUUGGGAAAAAAAACCAUCCACAAAAAUGUAUAAAAGAAAUUUAUAUUACGAUUUUUAUAUUUAAAUAUUGGACUUAUUUUAAAAAUAUAACUGUCAUGCUAACUGUUAUUCUAGGAAGGCACGAACAGUAAACAGUCUAUUGUCUGAGCUGUCUCCUCCCCUGUUGACAUGAAAUUUUCUGUACAGCACCGAGACCUACCGAGGCAAUCGAACAGAAGGGAAACGACCGACAGCGGACACCACACCCACGACUUGACCUGUGCGAAGACCUGCCAAAGGUCAAGAGGUCAAAUGCAGUUUCCGUUCAAAAAGGACAGAAAGUCAAAUGAGAGACAAAUCUGUGUGUAAAUGAAGACUGCAAGUGACACAUCGCAGCGUUGAUCAUUCUGACAGCAACAGUUGGGCUCUUCAGUCAGUGAGGGAUAACAGCGAUAAUGAUAACGAUGACAAGAAGAAAGAGAAGCUUGAAGAGCGACAUCCAGUGAGAAAGAGAAAGAAGCAACCCUGAGAUGUCUCCUCCUAGUUCAUGUUGCGAGACACAGGACAGCUGUCAUGGAGAUUUUCUUCAGACUUCCCGUUCAUCGGUUGGAUUCAAUUAUUUCUGAAAGAUCAGGUAAGGAGGCAAAAACCACGUGACAGGACACCACAAGAACGAGCACUCUGAGAUGACAUAACUCUACACACACCAGCCGUGACGUCAUUUCCGUGUCUAGCAUUUCUCCUUCACUGCUUUAGGACAACAUUGAAAGGAGGAUUAAUGACAAUAAAUUUCGAGAAAACCUGCGCGGGUUAUUUUUUUCAAGAUCUUCUGAGAGAGUAACUAGCAUGAAAGCACUAAUCAGGAGAAUAUAAUAAAUAUUUCCAGGAUGAAGAGCAAGUUGGCCAUGAGAGAGGAUGGUCAGCAGAAGGGAGGUCACCUCCACCGGCCAGUCGGUAACUCUGUCAGCAUCGCAAGAUGGAGUUGGUUUGUCCAGAGAAACGAUGACAGAUUUGCCAAUAAAAUUUUCUUUCGUUUUGUUCACUG
rnacentral:lncRNA from 1 species